CUGGGCUACGUUCUCCGGUGUCAACUUGGUGCUGAAUCUCGAACCUGUGAAAUGCCUUCUUAAUUACAUCCGAGAAAAGGAUCCUGAUUGAGUCAUUGCUUUACAUUACAGCUG